rnacentral:rRNA from 1 species
GAUGAACGCUAGCGGCAGGCUUAACACAUGCAAGUCGAGGGGUAUUUAUCUUCGGAUAGAGAGACCGGCGCACGGGUGCGUAACGCGUAUGCAAUCUACCUUUACAGCGGGAUAGCCCAGAGAAAUUUGGAUUAAUACCUCAUAGUAUUAUGAAAUGGCAUCAUUUUAUAAUUAAAGUCACAACGGUAAAGAUGAGCAUGCGUCCCAUUAGCUAGUUGGUAAGGUAACGGCUUACCAAGGCUACGAUGGGUAGGGGUCCUGAGAGGGAGAUCCCCCACACUGGUACUGAGACACGGACCAGACUCCUACGGGAGGCAGCAGUGAGGAAUAUUGGACAAUGGGCGCAAGCCUGAUCCAGCCAUGCCGCGUGCAGGAUGACGGUCCU